UUUAUAUUCCCUCCGUCUCAAAAUUCUUGUCUUAACUUUAUCUAGAAAUGAACGUAUCUAAAUAUUAAAACUUGACUAGAUACAUUCAUAUUUAAACAAAUUUAAGACAAGAAUUUUGAGACGGAGGGAGUACUAU
rfam:Hordeum vulgare subsp. vulgare, WGS project CAJW01000000 data, contig: morex_contig_52631